CGGAGGGUGCAAGCGUUAUCCGGAUUUACUGGGGUUUAAAGGGUGCGUAGGUGGGUCUGUAAGUCAGUGGUGAAAUCUUCGAGCUUAACUCGGAAACUGCCAUUGAUACUAUAGGUCUUGAAUUAUCUGGAGGUAAGCGGAAUAUGUCAUGUAGCGGUGAAAUGCUUAGAUAUGACAUAGAACACCAAUUGCGAAGGCAGCUUACUACGGAUGUAUUGACACUGAGGCACGAAAGCGUGGGGAUCAAACAGGAUUAGAUACCCUGGUAGUCCACGCCCUAAACGAUGGAUACUCGACAUACGCGAUAUACUGUGUGUGUCUGAGCGAAAGCAUUAAGUAUCCCACCUGGGAAGUACGAUCGCAAGAUUG
rnacentral:rRNA from 1 species